rnacentral:rRNA from 1 species
AUGGAGAUGAAGCCCGCCGCGCAGCCGGUCACGGGCGUCCCCGUGGGCGCGGCGCCCGUCGCCUGGUCCUCCGGCCUCUUUGACUGCUUCGACGACUGCGGCCUCUGCUGCGUGACCUACUGGUGCCCGUGCAUCACGUUCGGCAAGGUGGCGGAGAUCGUGGACCGGGGGUCGACGUCGUGCGGGACGAGCGGCGCGCUCUACGCGCUCCUGUGCUCGCUCACGGGCUGCCAGUGGAUCUACUCCUGCACCUACCGCUCCAAGAUGCGCGCCCAGUACGCGCUCCCGGACGGGCCCUGCUGCGACUGCUGUGUCCACUUCUGCUGCGAGCCGUGCGCGCUCGUCCAGCAGUACAAGGAGCUCAAGGCCCGCGGCUACGACCCCGAGAUCGGCUGGCACCUCAACAUGGAGCGCCACAGCGCCGGCGCUGUCAACCCGCCCGGCGUGCAGGAGAUGGGCCGCUAG